rnacentral:rRNA from 1 species
UACGUAGGGUGCAAGCGUUGUCCGGAAUUAUUGGGCGUAAAGAGCUCGUAGGCGGUCUGUCGCGUCGGCUGUGAAAACCCGGGGCUCAACCCCGGGCCUGCAGUCGAUACGGGCAGACUAGAGUGCGGUAGGGGAGACUGGAAUUCCUGGUGUAGCGGUGAAAUGCGCAGAUAUCAGGAGGAACACCGGUGGCGAAGGCGGGUCUCUGGGCUGAUACUGACGCUCAUGCACGAAAGCGUGGGGAGCAAACAGG